AUGGCCGUCGCCCAGGCCGCAGCGGUUGUCACGCCGGUGGUGGCCGGGGCUGCGCCGUCCGUCUCUCCGCGGCCGCCGUCCCGGGGACCGGCCGGAGCCGGAGGCGGGCUGGGGUGGCGCCGCCGUCCGAGGGGGAGCGCCAGCCGCGGCCUGGUCAUCGCGGACGCGUUCGGCGGGCAGUACGAAGACGGGUUCGGGGACGUGGAAUUGGAAAUCAUGAAUUACUUCACUUACAAGGCCACACAGACGGUACUCUAUCAGUUGUAUGAGAUGAAUCCGCCGGCAUACACUUGGCUUUAUAAUUAUCUUGUCGUCAAUGACGCAAAAGAGGGUAUACAUUUCCUGCGAGCGCUCUCGAAGGAGAGGCAAGACCUGGCAGAGAGGGUGAUGGUCACACGCCUUCACUUAUACGGCAGAUGGAUCAAGAAAUGUGACCAUACGAAAAUGUACGAAAGGAUUUCGAAUGAGAACUUGGAGCUCAUGCGUGAGAGGCUAAUGGAAACAGUGGUGUGGCCAACUGAUGACACGAACUCCAGCGACAAGCAAGAUUGA
rnacentral:rRNA from 1 species